UUCUUCUAUACUGCCGAAUUAACAAAGGAAAGAAAGCUUAUGAGCAAAGUAGGGUUCGGCACUUUUGGUUGUUGAUUAAGAUCAAGAUAAACAAAUACCGGAACUUGAUCGGGGGAAACAAAAGUUAGACGGGUAGACGAAAGUAUUCGAGCAAAUACGAGACUUCGGAAGCUAGCUCGAUUUUGGACUAGGUCGGAGAUUUGCUAUCACACUAUCCAAGCAAUUUUUGGUACUUUUGGACCUUUUGUAAUUAAUGUAAAUAUGGCAUGUAUAGUUAAUUUUUUGGUAUGAAUUUUGGGGUUUGAUCAAGCUAUGUGAUAUGGCUUGAGUUGGAAAUGUUUAGUUUAGAAUGGAAACAUUAUGUGUUAUGUUCAUUUUGGGUGCACUUUGAUAAAUGGUAUUUUGGUAUAUUUGAAUAUAUAAAUGCCUUGGUUGAAA